rnacentral:rRNA from 1 species
AGAGUUUGAUCCUGGCUCAGGAUGAACGCUAGCGGCAGGCCUAAUACAUGCAAGUCGAACGGAUCUAGGCAGCAAUGCUUAGAUUAGUGGCGCACGGGUGCGUAACGCGUAUGCAACCUACCUUUUAUUGGGGGAUAGCCCGAAGAAAUUCGGAUUAAUACCGCAUAAUAUCCUUUGAGGGCAUCCGAAGGGGAUGAAAGCUACGGCGAUAAAAGAUGGGCAUGCGUGUCAUUAGCUAGUUGGUGAGGUAACGGCUCACCAAGGCGACGAUGACUAGGGGUUCUGAGAGGAUGAUCCCCCACACUGGUACUGAGAUACGGACCAGACUCCUACGGGAGGCAGCAGUAGGGAAUAUUGGGCAAUGGCGGAAACGCUGACCCAGCCAUGCCGCGUGCCGGAUGAAGGCCUUCUGGGUUGUAAACGGCUUUUAUCAGGGAAGAAACGACCUUUGCGAAGGGAAUUGACGGUACCUGGUGAAUAAGCACCGGCUAACUCCGUGCCA